CCUACGGGAGUCAGCAGUGGGGAAUAUUGCACAAUGGGGGAAACCCUGAUGCAGCGACGCCGCGUGAGUGAAGAAGUAUUUCGGUACGUAAAGCUCUAUCAGCCGGGAAGAAAAGGACGGUACCUGACCAAGAAGCCCCGUCUAACUACGGGACAGCAGCCGAAGUAAUACGUAGGGGGCAAGCGUUAUCCGGAGUUACUGGGUGUAAAGGGAGCGUAGGCGGGAGCUCAAGGCUGGAGGUAACUCCCAUGGGUUAACCAUGGAACUGCUUUGGAAACUGGGCAUCUGGAGUGCAGGAGAGGUAAGCGGAAUUCCCAGUGUAGCGGUGAAAUGCGUAGAUAUCAGGAAGAACACCAGUGGCGAAGGCGGCUUACUGGACUCUAACUGACGUUGAGGCUCGAAAGCGUGGGGAGCGAACAGGAUUAGAUACCCUGGUAGUC
rnacentral:rRNA from 1 species